CAGGGCCCAGCGCGGGAAAGAACGGAGAAGUUCACUCUGAAGCUUCGCUUCCGCUCAGACAUUGAAGAGCUCGUCCUGUACCAGCCUACGCUGACCCGGAUCGAACUACUUGCGUACGCCGGCGGCUACCUGGGCAUAUGGCUCGGAAUGUCGGCCCUCGCAUUCCUCUUGGAUCUCCACGGUAAAGCGUAUUGGCACAAGAAAGAAAUCAAGAAGAUCUUCAGUACCAUGUUGACACCGAGCGGCCAAAGUUUGUGGCUGAAAAAGAAACAACGAUGGACUGACCCUGUGAUUCGCGUCCGCUAAAGAAUGUUCAGCUCAAGUAGCUGCUUCGAGAUCAAGGUGCCUGCAAUAUCUCCUAACGAAAAAGAAAAAAAAUAAGGAAAAAAGAAGAAGCGCUGCAUGAAUUGAAAAAGUAGACGCAGCAAUCCCUUCAUCACAAUCUCAGCCUGCAUAAAGUUGCUCCGAAAAUAACAAAAUCUGAUGUAUUCAUUUCUUGCAGACCAGCAUCAUAUGAAGCACGUAGGACUAUGAUAAAGGGUGUCGACCAUUCUCGUUAACCUAGUUUCUUUUUCUUUGUGUUUUUGUGUUUCAC